UUAAAACUCACGACCAAGGGAGCAGCGUUUUACGAUCGCUUAAUGGCAUGGAGACAACAGACUUGUGAAAACAAAAAGACGGGUAAAGGUGACAGAUGAAAGCAAUUAAACUGUUUUUAAACACUUCCUGCAGGAGUACUGAGGACACAGAUCUAAAGACAGGAUAUCAUCGUAUACUGUAAGUUCAUUAUUGAGACACUACAGUAUAGAUGAUGUACUAUCCAGGGGGUCAAUACACCUCCGACUGUUUCCUGUGGACCCAAAAACUUUGUGACAGAGAGGGGCGGUGAAACCGUUACCAUUACUGAGUUUAGUAAUGGUAAGGGUUCUAUUGCCUUCUCUCAAAUAUCAUCUGGAUAUGAGAGGACCAAGCACGAGUCGAGUGAACUUCAGAGCAAUGGAUGAAGCAGUCAAAAUCAGAUGAGUGAACGGAUGGACAAAAUUUUAAGCAGAUUAAAUCAAAUAACAAUGAGAUUCUGAUCAUCUUUAUUUAUACAACUUUAUAACCUAUAAUGUGUUCAAUGAGACUGCCAUUGUGUGCAAUUGUAAUAAAUAUCACUGAAUUUGAAAUUAAAA